GGGCUUAAUAAAGUGAAGUUUACUUCCUGAAACUGAGGCUGGGCAUGGUAGCUUCUUCUGCCUCUUACAGGAUAGAAUCAUUCAGAGAUAAUCCUGGGGAACGGAGCACUAAUCCACGCCUCCCCCAGCAGAGAUUGGGGUGGCUGGGAGAAAGGGAAGACAGAGGACAAAGUCAAGCUGUUUCCUCUGUGCUGUUCGGAAGAAGGACCCGGAGAGCUGGUCCCACUGAUAAGCGAACACAUUAGGACCAGAGCUGAGCAGAAGUGGAGAACUAAUUCCUUUUCUUUGCAAAAGUGACUGGGAAUUGGGUUGGACAGGGGAGGGUAGGAGAGGACAAGGUAGAAAGGGGAAUGAACCUGGAAAAACGAAGAGUGAGCAGUUUGGAGGAAGAGAGAGGGCUUAGCAACAUGGCCGGGAUUAGCAAGGGCAAAAGUGGGCGUCUUCUUAUUGGAAAUGGCCAAAUAAAUAAAUACAGAGGCGUAAUAUUUGCUUUCUUGUGUUACCUGCUGUUAUGAUGUGAUCCUUCUCCACUGCUCUAAACUUUCAGUAAGUCUUCUGUGUACAAGUGCCUUGUGUUAAUAAUGGGGUUUGGGGAGAGUCCACAUCUGGGCAAUGUGAUCAGUAAUUUAGAAGAGCCUGAAGCCAGAGGAGAAUAGGAAAAUGUAAACCAUCACCUCUACUCCCCACAAAACCCCAGAGAGAUUGGAGGAAGCCUGGCUGGCUGUGACCGCACUCGCAGAACAGCGUCUGGGAUUCAUGUAAUUUGAAUAUCUAAGGGCAGGGGGCCUCUGCUGACCGAGACAAUACUAUCCAGGAGUCAUACCUGAAGACUUCAGUGGCCCAUGUGGCUUAAGCACCAACCAUCGGAAUCAGAGGCUGGCCUGUACGCCAUCAUGGUCAUAUUGGAUGCGUAUCGAAGUGAGCUCCUAGAGGUGCAAAAAUAGCAAAAAUGCAAUUGCAUAUGUAAAAACGCAACAUAUGUAAAAUCUGGCAAAGAUUAGAUCCUUCAUUAGUGCUCAUACCCGCAACACGGUCAAACUGAGGGGGACGGAGGGAGAGAGAAAUGGAAUUUGGAGAGGUUCCCAGCUCUGCCAUUCCCCACCCCUAGUAGCCAGGGGCGUUCUAGCAGCAGAGAGAGUAAAAGGGAGGGAGCAGGGCAAGGCCUUGGGCGGGGGGUGGGGGGUGGGUGUCUCCUGGGUUCGGUCAGGUGACAACACGAAUCCAAGUGUCGCUCAGGCUCCACGGCUAACACGGCUUUUGGGGCAUCAGAUAUUUGGGGAGAUGGAGGGAAUAACACAUCCUCUCCCCCAUCUACACCCGGAACAAAUAUGCUGGAAGUAUUCCGGUUCAGGCACUGAACUCGACCUGUCACAGGGAUGUAGACUUUUCUUUCCCCAGGUUCUCUUUUCGGCAACCCAGAGGAAGCAAGUCGCGGGGUACGCGCCAGAUGCUUCCCUCUGUCCUGGCUGAUGGAGCUCCUGACUGCGCCUGCUGCUGGCCGAUGGGCUCUGCAGUGGCCCACGACGGUCCCAUUUUUAAAGAUCACCGUCUCCCCGGGCCCUCCCUCCCUCCCCCUGAGCCACGAUAGUGGGUGUUCCUGUUUAUGUUUUGAAAUUCCCCUCCACGUGGGUGGAAGAUUUCAGAGAUUUCUCGUUGCAUCUCCCAAGGUAAUUUCUUUUAGGCAAAGAUAACAGGAGUUUCUGGUCUGCGUGACAUCAUCCGGUUGUCUAAAUUCAGCCCUCACAAUCUAGGCGGGCUUCAUUCCAGGCUGGUUGGUGUGCACGGUACAGGUGGCCGGCCCCUCCUUCCCACUGUGAGAUGGCAUCACAGGAAAACCGUCUGGGGCUGGUCCUUCCAACACCCAUGUCACUUUCUCCUUCACGCGUACCCUAACUCACACCCUCAUCCAAUAAGGCCCAUUAGCGUGCUUCCCCUUCUGGCGAAUUUGCAUAAUUAUUCACUGCCUUCUUUCUAGAACCAAAUCCUGGUAAUGGUUUUCUCAAGUCAGCGUCCUAGAAAUUCUCGAUUCUAUCAUACACACUCACUACUAAGUUUGCCCUCAAAUUAUUGCGUCAUGGUAAACAUGUACAGACAAAGAGAAAGGACACACUUUUCAACAGAGAAUCAGGGGGUCGGGGGCUGAAGUGCAGACAAGGCAGUACAGAGCUCCACCAUCCAGGCCCUACCAGAACACGAAGAUAUUUUCUAUUGCAGAGUAAGAUUCCCCAACAGUCAGAAUUUGUCCCUGAAGAAGGUUAAACCUUAAACACCUGCUUCAAAAAACCAAAACAAAAUAAUUGGGGAGAAAAAAAACAAAACAAAAACAACAGAAAAAAAAUGAAAGAAAGAAAAAAAAAAAGAAAACCGAAAGAAACUCUAAGCCUAAGGGCUUAAAAAUUAGAGGCAUAGCCUUUUCUCUAUUUUCUAUAUUUAUAUGAAAAUAAUUCAUGCUUCAUGCUAAAUACAUUAUUUACCUUACAAGAACUUUGUUAUUUUUGAAUAAAAAAAAGUUUGUGUUUUGUGAUUUUUUUUUU
rnacentral:lncRNA from 1 species